AUUGAACGCUGGCGGCAUGCCUUACACAUGCAAGUCGAACGGCAGCACGGGUGCUUGCACCUGUUGGCGAGUGGCGAACGGGUGAGUAAUACAUCAGUACAUGUCCUGUGGUUGGGGAUAGCCCUCCGAAAGCCGGAUUAAUACCCCAUACGAUCCACGUAUGGCAGCGUGGGGCCUUGAAACCUCCCGCGGUUGGGUUUGCCGAUGGCUCAUUAGCUCGUUGGGGGGGUAAAGUGCUACACAGAGGACGAUCAGGAGAUGGUCUGAGAGGACGACCAGCGACACGGGAACUGAGACACGGCCCAGACUCCUACGGGAGGCAGCAGUGUGGAAUUUUGGACAAUGGGCGAAAGCCUGAUCCAGCAAUGCGGCGUGUGUGAAGAAGGCCUUCGGGGUGUAAAGCACUUUUGUCCGGAAAGAAAUCCUUGGGCCUAAUACGGUCGGGGGAUGACGGUACCGGAAGAAUAAGCACCGGCUAACUACGUG
rnacentral:rRNA from 1 species